rnacentral:rRNA from 1 species
GAUGAACGCUGGCGGCGUGCCUAAUACAUGCAAGUCGAGCGAACAGAUGAGGAGCUUGCUCCUCUGACGUUAGCGGCGGACGGGUGAGUAACACGUGGAUAACCUACCUAUAAGACUGGGAUAACUUCGGGAAACCGGAGCUAAUACCGGAUAAUAUAUUGAACCGCAUGGUUCAAUAGUGAAAGACGGUUUUGCUGUCACUUAUAGAUGGAUCCGCGCCGCAUUAGCUAGUUGGUAAGGUAACGGCUUACCAAGGCAACGAUGCGUAGCCGACCUGAGAGGGGGAUCGGCCACACUAGAACGGAGACACGGUCCAGACUCCUACGGGAGGCAGCAGUAGGGAAUCUUCCGCAAUGGGCGAAAGCCUGACGGAGCAACGCCGCGUGAGUGAUGAAGGUCUUCGGAUCGUAAAACUCUGUUAUUAGGGAAGAACAAAUGUGUAAGUAACUAUGCACGGCUUGACGGUACCUAAUCAGAAAGCCACGGCUAACUACGUG